GUGCGUGUGUAGACUCUUCCUUGCUGUUGGGAGUAUAAAAGUGUUUACAUCUCUGACAAGCGCAGAGGAACCAGUGGGAAUUCUGGCAGACGUGGGCUUUGUUGUUGGGAUAUUAAAAUCAAAUCCAAGAGAGAAAAAUAGAACUUAAAGAUUUUUUUACGGAAAGAAUGCAUGACUACAGCAUGUUUCCUGGAAACUUGUGUAGGAAGUGGAGCAGCCUCUUGGAAUAAACUCGGUUGGUGAUGUGAGUAGAAUGAAGACUGUAGGAAAGCAUGGUGGACAAACAGACCUGGAGACCUAGGCUAGAUUGGGGAAGAUGGGCUUGUAAUUGUUGUGCAUUUAUUUUAUUUAUUCACUUACUUUAGGAACCCUGAAUAGGACCCAGUCUCCCAUAUUUUUAAUAGGCUCCCAAGGUGAUUUGGAUGCACAUGAGAAGUAGAGGAUGUUACGCACAAGUGUACAUUCAGUGCACAUACAUCCAUCAUUAUAAGAUAUAUAAUGGAAUUAAACAUUUAGGACAAGAUCACAAAAGGAUUGUUGCCAUUCCAUAAAUGGACUUAGAACCUUGUGGCUCCUUACUGGAUUUCAGUGAAACUUGAGUUGGAUGAGCUUCAUCCCUACUCAGCAACCAUCUCUUCCCGGACACAAUGGCCAAAUCGCCCGCUGGAUUACAUCUGGGAUUAAGCCGAGGGCACCUGACUACCUUUGUAUUAAUUCAGUUGUUCUCUUGGUAAGUUCCAUACCUUUGUCAGAAAGCCUUGAACUUCAAGUAGCACCAUGGGGGAGGAAAGGGGUCUUACCCUGGCUUUGUCCGUAUUUUUUGCUGCAAUGUCUAUGCUUAUAUCUACGAGGAGCUAUCAGAGCGCGGCCGAGAACCCUCGCCUCCCAGGAGUCCGUGGCUCUCUCCCUUUCACUUACACUGCAGGGAUAUUAAACACAUUAUUCUGUUUUGAUUGAACACCAGUAAAAUUAAAUUUCAUCUUUCCAUCUGCGGCACCAUGCGGGGACUGCUGCUUUCCAAGAAAGAGGAGAGUGACAAUGGAGGAAGGACCCCUUCAGGACGCUCAGAAACACGCUCCUUUCUGCUAGAGGAGGCGGGAUUUCUUCCUUUCAUGGUGCAAAUCUCAACAUCUGCUCUGCCUUUGCCUUCCAGACACCCUGACAGGUGCAGCCAUCUUUAAAACAUUUCUAGGAAGCAACGUAUGGACUGUAGGCAGUGAGUAAAGGAGAAGCCAUGCAGGGUGGGGCUAGGGACCCAUUUCUGAUCUCCAGGCUUUCCGGGUGUCCAUCGCUUUGUGCCCCAUAGACAUGCUCAGCACAGGAAUCAGAUUUUCACUCUCUCCUUUCCAGCUGUUUCACACUACUUAGCCCCCUCCCCUUCUCUGGCCCCCCAGGGAGACGAAAGUUAAAUGAUGUUAAUCUGCCAAAUAUUUCUGAUCAUUAGGAAGCCAUUAAAAUUAACGUAACCAUCAGAGGAAAUUAAUUGCCAAAAAGACAAGGCUGGGGUGGCAAGGAUCCGGAAGGAGGCAGGCAGAGGGUUUCUCCUCCUUUGUGGGUCUGAGGGAGCGGUCACAGCAGGAGCCAAGCAACAGCACACCCCUUCUCCCCUACGGUAAUUAGGAGGCAGACCCAGAAUACCAAGCAGAGUGUGCUGAGGCCCAGCCAGCGUUCCCUCCAUUCUCUUCUCCACCAGCUCCUCUGGGGGAGAUUUUUUUGGGUUAUUUUUUAAUUCCAGUUCAAAGCAGAGGUUGAGGGGAAAGAAGGCCCACAAGCCUCCUGCAGGAAACACCAUUAAUAAUUAAUACCCAAUAAUAAUCGAAUCCAUGGGAGACUCGUUACAAGUGAAAUCUUGACAGACCACGGAUGGAUGCCGGAGCUUUACUUCUUCAUCAGCUUGCAGCAGUGGUGCAGCGGGGAUCUGAGCACACAUAAGCAGUGACAAAAAAAAGGAUAAAUAGCAGAGAGGACGUGGACAAUCGGGCUGAUCAGAGAUGAAGUAAACCAGUGAGAGAGGGCAGAGCGAGACCACCAGACUCAGGACCUGGCUGCAGGUAGCAACAGCAUCGUGUCUAGGACAGUGCUUACACAUGGCUCUGCAAUGCAUACAUGCUCGUGAAUUGUUGCAUGCAAUCCUCAUAAUCACCCUAGAGGAAGGUGUUAGAGCCUCAUUUUUCUAGAAGAGGAAACCAAGAAACAGAGAAGGUGGAUGAUUUUCCCCAAGGCCUCAGCUAAUAAAGGGCACAGUUAGCCUAGGAUUCCAUCCCAGCUGGGAAGUCUGCUCUGAUGUGCCUCUGUGUUCAGCUGAGGGAAAGUGACUCACUCCCUCUCAGGAGGACAGCAUAGGAGGGGAGCUCUUCGGAGCCUGGCAUUGCUAGGAGAGGGCUACCCAGGAAUUCUGUUCAUGGUGUAUAAAACCUGUGAAGCUACCAGAGACUCUGUGCAUAGCCUCACGCACACAGAAAGCAGGUGGGGUCACCACAGGGAAUCAUGCUUAUGCGGAUGCAUUAUCAAAGAGAAUUUAGUGCAGGUGUAGGGAAGGCCAAAGAAACUAAGUGCAGGUUUAAGGAGAUCAGAAACCAGCCACAGCCCCAUUACCACUCCCAGGACAGAAGUCCUAACCUUCACUCACUGAGAACCAUGAUGUUCUGCUUUGACCCCCAGGCAGAGCCCCACCCCAUCCGGGCUGUGUAGACAUUUAAAGGAUCUUAUCCAUGCAGAAUUCUGUUUUUGCAAUUAAGAAAAAAUUGCAGAUGAACAAAGAAUAUUGAAAAUAAUACAAGAAACUAAAUAAACAAUAUCAAAAUUUACCAAAUAUUAAUUUUUUCACAUUUAUUUUCAAAGGAAUUUGUUCACCUUCCCUCUUGGCAUGUGUAGUAAUUUCUAUUCUGGAGUUCGUGAUAUGGCAUUAACAUUCUUUUCAUAGUUGCACUAUGUAGCCAUGUAUCUGUAAUCGGCAUCUGUUAUUACUUUGUGUGCUUGCCCACAUAUGCAAAUUGGAUUUGUCUAUACAGUUCAUAUAUGAACUGUACAUAUUUGUAGGCAACGUGCUAUUUUCUUAUAACAUUU